AAGACGCUAGUAUAACAUAGUACCCUGCCUUGUCAAGGCAGAAUUGUGGGUUAAAACCCCGCGCAUCUUG
rnacentral:tRNA from 1 species